rnacentral:rRNA from 1 species
GACGAACGCUGGCGGCGUGCUUAACACAUGCAAGUCGAACGGGCCUGCCCUUUUUUGGGUGGGUUGAGUGGCGAACGGGUGAGUAGCACGUGAGUAACCUGCCCCCUGCUCCUGGAUAACGCCCUGAAAGGGGUGCUAAUACGGGGUGUGCUGGUGCUGCCGCAUGGUGGGGCCGGGAUAGGUUCCCCUUUUUUUUGGGGUUCUGGGGGGGGUUGGGCUCGCGGCCUAUCAGCUUGUUGGUGGGGUGAUGGCCUACCAAGGCGGGGAGGGGUAGCCGGCCUGAGAGGGUGGACGUCCACACUGGGACUGAGACACGGGCCAGACGCCUGCGGGAGGCAGCCGUGGGGGGUAUUGCGCGAUGGGCGGAAGCCUGACGCAGCGACGCCGCGGGAGGGACGGAGGCCUUCGGGUGGUGAACCUCUUUCGCCGGUGGGGAAGGCGCCCCCGUGUGGGGUGCGGGCUGUAGCCGGGUUAAGAAGCGCCGGCUAACUACGUG